CUACGGGACGCUCCAGUUAGGAAACUUCUACAAUGCACGCAAGUGUGAUAGAGCAAGCCAGAGUGAUUCUCUAUAAUUGAGAAUCUUUUGUGGGAUGUAAAAAGUCUCACGAAUAAGGACUGGGAAAGACUGGUGCCAGCCGCCGCGGUAAUACCAGCAGUUCAAGUGGCAGCCCCUUUUAUUGGGUCUAAAACAUCCGUAGCUUGUUUUGUAAGUCUCUUGUGAAAUCCGGCCUCUCAAGGGUCGGGCGUGCAAGAGAUACUGCUUUACUAGGGAUCGGGAGACGUGGAGAGUACGGUUAGGGUAGCGGUCAAAUGCGUUGAUCCUAUCUGGACUAACGAUAGCGAAGGCACUUCACGAGAACGAAUCCGACAGUGAGGGAUGAAGGCUAGGGUCGCAAAACGGAUUAGAUACCCCGGUAGUC
rnacentral:rRNA from 1 species